rnacentral:rRNA from 1 species
UACGGGGGGAGCAAGCGUUGUUCGGAUUCAUUGGGCGUAAAGCGCGCGUAGGCGGUUCGGUAAGUCGGGUGUGAAAACACGAGGCUCAACCUCGUGCGUGCAUCCGAUACUGCCGGACUAGAGGUAGGUAGGGGAGAUCGGAAUUCCUGGUGUAGCGGUGGAAUGCGCAGAUAUCAGGAGGAACACCGAUGGCGAAGGCAGGUCUCUGGGCCAUUACUGACACUGAGAAGCGAAAGCAUGGGGAGCGAACAGG